AAACCAGCAGGGACCCCAGGUUUAUUAAUCUGGAGAGAGAAAUGUGCUCAAGAUUAAAAAUUUCAUUACAACUCUACCCCCAAAAUGAAAUUGAAACCAUUUGAAUUUUUAGGUCUGCGCCGCUCAUUUGCAAAAAGCUCAUGUAGUCUCUGAAAGGAACGCCACGCCCUACAGUUCAACGUCGCUGCGAAAGAGAUUUCCGACGGAAAAAAAAAUAUUUUCCGUGGUUGGUUAAUUUACUUCUCUCCCUAUCUCGGCGUCUCAUCUAGUUGUGGUGUUCUGGUACAUUUUAUUCCGGCGACAAGCGGCGGCUAGGUUUAUCCAGUAUCAUGUCGACUUUGGGGCGCAAGAAAGCUUGUAUAUAUCUUGUUGUGGAGGAAAUCCUCCAUGAGCAAAUGUUGCAAUUGACCGUGGUCCUUGAUUCAAUUGAGAAGGCAGGGUCACGAAAAAGAAAACGUAAUGGGAGAAAUGUAGCUUAUGGUAUACUACACAGAAUUCCCGAUCAAGUGAAGCACUUGAAUCAAAUGAUAGGUUUUAGUGAUGUCGAUUGUGUUAUAAAUCUUAGGAUGGAUAGAAAUACUUUCGGUAAACUGUGUCGACUUCUGAGGGAUUUAGGUGGGUUGACGGAUGGUCGUUUUGUGACCGUUGAGGAGCAAGUUGUUGUAUUUCUUUCUGUUCUAGCUCAUCACAAAAAAAAAAACAAAGUGGUUAAAUUUGAUUUCUGGAGAAGUGGGCAAACAAUUUCGCACUAUAUUCAUGUAGUGUUGCGAGCCAUUUUGAAAUUACAUGUAAUUCUUUUGGUAAAGCCAACUGCUGUGCCGGAAGACUCGACGGAUCCACGUUGGAAAUGGUUUAAGGGUUGCUUGGGUGCAUUAGAUGGUACCUACAUCAAUGUCAUGGUACCCAACAAUGACAAGCCGCGCUAUAGAACGAGGAAGGGUCAGAUUUCAACCAACACUCUCGUAGUUUGUGACAGGAAUUUGAAAUUUGUUUAUGUCUUGCCCGGGUGGGAGGGGUCACCUGCGGACGCACGAAUACUGCGCGAUGCCCUUAAUCGAGUGAAUGGAUUUAAAGCACCCAGAGGGUCAUAUUAUCUUUGUGACAACGGGUACGCGAAUAGUGAAGGGUUUCUAACGCCGUACAAGGGUGUUAGGUACCACCUUAAAGAGUGGGGGCCAACGGCUGCACGUCCUCGAAAUGCGGAUGAGCUGUUCAAUUUGAGGCACACACGAGCUCGGAAUGUAAUUGAACGCGCAUUCGGUAUAAUGAAGAUGCGAUAGGGUGUAUUGCGCAGCAGCAAAUUUUACCCCGUCAAAGUGCAAAAUAGGCUUAUCAUGGCGUGCUUCCUAAUAAAUAAUUUUAUUAGGAAUGAGAUGAUCGUGGAUCCAAUUGAACAGGCAUUCGACAAUCUACCGAUGGAGAAUGAAUUUGCAGAGCCGCAUCACGAUGAUUAUGUGGAAGUUGUUGAACCCUCGACCGAAUGGGCUGCAACUCGAGACGCCAUGGCUCAAGCAAUGUGGCAACAAUAUGUUGCACUUCACUAAUGUAGCUCAUAGUGGCAGUUGAACCCCCCCUUGUGACUCUCAUUAGAUAUUGUUUUGGGAAUGUCUGCCUUUAAAAUUCAGUUUCGAAUGUUUGAUGAUUAAACCUUGACAUGUUUGAUGGAUGCACAAGUUCCUCGUAUUUAUCUGAAUGCUCCAAUGUGCCCGCGUGGCCAUGGGAGGAUGUUACUGCUGUGCGCGAGUAUGAAUGCGCAAAAUGCCGGACGUUACUACUACAAAUGCCCAGUGAAAGGCACACAUGUGGGAUCUUUCUUUUGGUGUGACGAAUUUCACAACCAAGGACAUGCCCCAGCAUUUCAAAACAUGCCCCAAAUGAAUCCAACAUUUCCUCGCAAUCCUGCAACUCGAUCAGAUGCAUCAUCGAGGCCUGAAAGCAGCGGUUUGGACUAUGGCGACGCGCAGUUGCCUGUUAUAGGAAGAGCGAUGCCGGAGAACGAGCAACAAAUCAAUUUUAUCUUUAUGGCAAUGAUGUUUAUAUUGCAGGGGUUUAUCAUUGGGAAGCUUGUGUGAAAUUUCUUCAACUGAAUUUAUUAACUCUUGAAUAUGAAUGAUUCUUUUGGUAUUCA